UUCAGUAAGUUAGUAGAGUUUAAAAAAACCAUACAACAUGUUAUUGUAUGUGUGAUAGAUUAUGGGAUUGAAAUUGAAAUUGGGUUUCAACGCCGGUGGUGUGGUUGAAGUCCGCAUUCCCUUCUUCUCCGCCAAAAAAGAAAGACUUGGCCAACCCUAACAAACAUCAUCAAGAUUUAAUCGCCAUUAAUGCCCACUGCAAAACCUCUGUUCACAAGAUUGUGUGUUGUGAUGAUGGCGUUUUAUCAUGGUUCAUGUACCAAAAGCUUCUUGAGCUUGUGGAGUUCAAGCUGAAGGAAGUGAUUUCGAGGGAACAUACUCUACUUAUUUUCAUGAUUGGCGUUUCUAACAUUGCCAAGUCGGUUUUAAUUAAUUCAAUCCGUCAAAUUGCAUCGUCUUGCUUUCCUGGUAAGCUGUUACUAUGUUAUGCUAGAUUAUGUUUGAAUGUCAUUGUCUUUAAAUGGAACUAUGGGGAAGUUUAUUAAAUUUUAUUGAACAAUAACUGCUUUUGUUUUCUUUCAUAGUGCAGGAGAAGAUGAAGUGUGCUACUGUCAUCCCACUGCCUGGUGUUACUCAAGAUAUUUCUGGAUACAAGGCGAAGAGAUUCUGUGUUUUAUGGUUUAUUACCUUAGAAAGUAAAGAGAGACUGAAAGUCUAGUUUCAUGUGUCUUUCACAGAUAUAGUUGAUGUUGUUGCUUUCAUGAGAAGCAAACUUAUUGCAAGGAAUUUAUUUCUGACGUGUUAUAUCAUCUGACCACAGACACGGUGAUGAUUGCGCAUCAGCCUAGCAUUUAUGUCCUAGAAACUCCGGGUGUAUUGGUUCCAAGUAUCCCUGACAUAGAGACAGAACUGAAGCUGGCUCUUGCAGGUGACAAACUUCUACAGCAAGGGCAGACUUCUUGGUCACUACUGAAAACUCUCUUUUGGCAAUUAAGAGUGCUAGAUCAUGGAUAAGAUCAUGCAUUUUAAAGGGUUUUCUUUCUCAUUCCUGUUGAGGAAGUGCUAGCCAGAGAGAGCUCAGAGCUCGGAGAUGAUGGAAGUACUCUGCAAUUGCCAGAAAGCACCUUGCAGCUUGACAGGUUGUGAGGAUUUGAUGCAGUCGUCUGGUGCCUCAGAUUAUCUGCCUAGAGUUCGCCAAGGACAGUGUCCGCCUUGUUAAGCGUUGCCACAAGUUCGAUUGCAAAGGUCAUGUGAAGAAGCACUAAUUUGCUAGAGGUCGAAGGCAGAUGGGUCAGAGUGAUACUUAAUGUUAAAGAGGAAUGCUUAGCAAGUAGCUUCUUAGGUCUUAUUUGAUUGGCUUGGAUUUGCGAUUAGAAUCUGAUUCCCAGCUAGCAGUUCAAUGGAUUACAUCAGAGAACAAUUCAUAUCCUUCACUUCCAAUAAAUUUAAUCAAUGAUUGCAGGUAUCUACUUAGACAAACAAGGACACAGAGACAAAUAGAUGUGCAGGUAUCCACUUCAUGACACAUAUCCCACCUUUUUUAUUACUUCUUUCUUUUGGGACCAUAUAAGGAUGGUGCAAAUGCAUACAGCAUACCCCUAACUUUUUGUAUAUAUUUUUGUUGGUUGUAACUUGUAGCUUAUUUUGGUGCAUAAUACUUCGAUUGUAUUUUGCUAAGUUGA